AGCAGUUUCAUUCACAAUAUAAGGCAAUAUUCAGGUAAAAAAAAAAUUAUAAUAAAUCCAAUAGUAAUAGAAAUACAAACCUGUGGACUGCCAACAUGGAGGGACAUAUGCUACUCAUGAUUGUCAUUGUUACAGGUGUGUUUUCUGACAGCAUUGGACCAAGUGAAGAAAAUACUAAUACAAAGGAAGAAGGAGAGUCUGUGAAACUGAGCUGCACAUAUGAAACUAACAGCAAUUAUGUUUGGCUUUACUGGUUCAGACAGUAUCCAAACGGAGAACCUCAGUAUUUACUGUAUAAAGGUGCUCGAUCAGAGAGUGGGGGUAGAUCAUCAGACCAUCGGUUUCAGUCAACAACAUCCCAAACAUCCACUGAACUCACUAUUAACAGUGUAACUCUGUCAGAUUCAGCUCUCUAUUACUGUGCUCUAAGAGUUGUAGCCCAGUGAUACAAAAUGC